AUUGAACGCUGGCGGCAGGCUUAACACAUGCAAGUCGAGCGGGGUGAUGGUGCUUGCACUAUCACUUAGCGGCGGACGGGUGAGUAAUGCUUAGGAAUCUGCCUAUUAGUGGGGGACAACAUCUCGAAAGGGAUGCUAAUACCGCAUACGUCCUACGGGAGAAAGCAGGGGAUCACUUGUUACCUUGCUCUAAUAGAUGAGCCUAAGUCGGAUUAGCUAGUUGGUGGGGUAAAGGCCUACCAAGGCGACGAUCUGUAGCGGGUCUGAGAGGAUGAUCCGCCACACUGGGACUGAGACACGGCCCAGACUCCUACGGGAGGCAGCAGUGGGGAAUAUUGGACAAUGGGGGGAACCCUGAUCCAGCCAUGCCGCGUGUGUGAAGAAGGCCUUAUGGUUGUAAAGCACUUUAAGCGAGGAGGAGGCUCUUUUGGUUAAUACCCAAGAUGAGUGGACGUUACUCGCAGAAUAAGCACCGGCUAACUCUGUGCCAGCCGCCGCGGUAA
rnacentral:rRNA from 1 species